CUUAAACAUAUACAAAUACUACUAAACACACGGAAAACAGGUGAAUAAAACACACCCUCGAAAACAAAUCUGACAAUAUCUAAUCUAUCAAAACAAGAGUACAAAAAGAAAAUAACCAUGGGUUUUCCUCAAUAAUUACAAGUGAAUGCCACUGAAUCAAAAUCUAUUAAAUUAUCAAACCACCUCAAUAUAAUACUUAAACCAACGUAAUUUCAUCACCACGUUGCGUCACCACUCCUUGCAGAAGCUCUAGCCAUUAGAGACGCCCUACUACACGCCCUCUCACUCGGCUUCACCUCGAUCUGGCUUCGAUCAGAUGCUCAAGCGCUCAUCACGGCGAUCAACACGAAGCGAAGACCGACAACAAAACUCUACGGGGUGUUGUCGGACAUCGAUUCGCUUUCCUCUCUGUUUUCUGUUUGUCGUUUUUCAUUCUGCCCUAGGGCCUCUAACGGGCUAGCGGACUCUUUAGCUAAAGCCCACCUUUGUAUUGCCCCCUUGGGCCAACUCGUUUAAGCUUCUAUAAAAAUUUAUCUGUUGCGCAAAAAAAAAAACAAUCGUAAUUUCAAUUACAUUAACCUAAUCUUAUUUUAUUAGAUAGAUGAAAAACUAACCUUGGCGACUAAGGGGAGAGAGAUGACGACGGGGACGAUGAAGAAGGUGUUAAAUCUUGCUAAAGGCGUCGUUAUGUUCAUCAUCUGCGGUGGAGAGCUUAAUCCCCCUGAAGCUUCUAGAUCUCACCGGAGCUAUUCCCGAUGUUACCCAGCCUUUCCAUUAAUUCUUUGAUAAGGAAGCAACAAAACAACUUGUGGGACGAUUUGAAACUUUCCCAUUGCAGAGAACGCUCUCACUUGCGUCUGCUAAGUCUUCUUCUUCGACUUCACUUACAUCUCAAAUCCUCUAAUGGCCAAGACUGUUGAUUACCUGUUAUUGGACAUGGUAGCAGUGGCAUCAAGGUGGACCUUUGAGCUGAACCUUCAACUAUUAGCAAUAGUAAGCAAGCCUCUACUACAAGUCUACAACUCUAAAUGGCGCCCCAAGAAAAUGAAAAUCGAAGAUAAAUCUUCUUCAACCUUUUAGAGGUCUCUGGAUAUAUUAGUUUGAAAACCAUUCCUAAGCCGGAACAUUCUGAUACUGUCAUUUAAUAGACUGAUACUAAAGAGGUGACUGUCUGUCCCUUUUGUUUUUGUUAAAGCUAAUUAGUGUUACGUUUGACUUACCUCUGUUUGGUAGAUUCCUGGUUAUCAUGAGAUUAUCACGAAUCAGACGAAUUUUAGCACACUGUAGAAGAAAUUAGACUCGGGAGCUUAUUCCGGGUUCGAAAAAUUUUAGUGCAGGGUGCAAACAUAAGUCUGUUUCAAAAGUUAUGCUUAACUUGAAGAACUAUGGGUCUAUUUAAAUUCAAAUUUGUCUCCCAGUUUGAGUACAUAUCAAACGUGUGGAGAUUGGUGUUUGAAUAGCUACUGUCCUUCUCGGCGUAGGCAACAAGAAUUUGCGAAGAACCACAUGACCAGCAACCAAAAGUUGCUAAAAGAAGUCGUCCACAGGAGACAUCAUGAACCUUCUUUAGUUGACUUCAAAAAUUUCAGCUGAUGCGCUCUAUCCAGGAGGAUAUACGUCAUAUAACUCUAAUAAGUUUUAGUGCUUGCACCAAUUUGUGGAUAAAAUAUUUAAUUAUUUUAAUUAUAUAAAGCAAAUAAAAUAAAUUAGGCGCGCAGUCAGAUCCUAGUUAUUUUUAAAAAGAACUGCAUAACA